ACGACGUCACCAUUACGGCAGCCCUUCGUCCUUCGCUCUCGCUAGACGGGAUCCGAUCACCCCAUUAUCGUCUGUCCGCGACCAUUACAGCAGUACUUUGAGAGCUUCUCCAGCGUCUCCAUCACCCUUUGGUUGGCGAGCAUGAAAAACUCACGGUACCUAGAUGGCUGGUCUCCAGAUCGUCCUGGCAGGCAAUUCGAUGACGAAUACCACUCAGAAAUGCCGUCUUGCCAUUUCCGACGCGAAUAUCUCUACACAUCACAGCGAACGCAUAAAGGGUCUUUAGUUUUGCUGGAACUUAUGUAUUCCUAACUUACAUAGGCUAGCUUCACCCCUGCAGGAAGAGUGCUGUGAUUUGGUAAAUCGUGGUAUGGCUUGCUGUAUGUACAGUACGUUGAUGGAUUACUGCUCGACAAGAAGGGGCCACCCAGGAGGAAAAACUCUCCAUAUAUCAAAAAUUAGGGAGACAGAGGCAAUAGAAACCAAUCAAACACAUACAAUAUUCGAAGGAUGAUAUAGGUGUGGGUCUAACUCACCACAGGGGAGCGCAAAUAUUAGAUAAUUCUAUGAGCGUGUCUUCCGCGAAGGCACCUUCAUCCGGAAGGACAAAGCCAGGCAUAGUUCCUGAGACCAGAGGACCGAUACAGGAACAUUCAAAAAGGACAACAGAAUAAUUAUAUCCCAAAUACUGCAGUUGUCCAUGGAUGUUUUGACAUAUCUUGCAAUUUUUUUAAUGCGACUUCGCGUACGCAUAGGGGUUCUGCCGUUGAAAAUACUGUAGAAGCUCUCGCGGUCGAAAAAAACGAUGUAGCCAUAGAAUCAGAUAUUGAAAACGAUGAAGGAUCGGAAGAGGAACGCUACAUUCACGGCCUAGAGCCGGGGAGCUGUGUCCGUUGCCUAAAGUCGAUAGGAGAUGUGCCCCAACUGGGGCAUGCUUCCCCCUCUGCUGGCUGGUUUAUUGCAAUAAACGACAUGGUUUCUGAAGCUAUUCGAAGCAAAUUAGCAGCCUCCUACAAAAGAUAG
rnacentral:sRNA from 1 species